rnacentral:rRNA from 1 species
UACGUAGGGGGCAAGCGUUGUCCGGAAUCACUGGGCGUAAAGCGCGCGCAGGCGGCUGUCUACGUCCGGGGUGAAAGCCCAGAGCUCAACUCUGGGACUGCCUUGGAGUACGGGAUGGGCUUGGAGGAUCGGAGAGGCAAGGGGAAUUCCACGUGUAGCGGUGAAAUGCGUAGAGAUGUGGAGGAACACCAGUGGCGAAGGCGGCUAGCUGGCCUGUAACUGACGCUGAGGCGCGAAAGGCUAGGGGAGCGAAACAGG